AUGUCCAGUCCGGGCGGAAGUCGAGCGAGAGGGAGGCCUCCGCUUCCCAGAGAGGCGGGAGGGGAGGAGAGCGCGACGCCCUUCCCUCUGAGCUCACUUCCGGAGGGAGGAGCGGGGCCUUGUCCUGGGCGCCCUCCCUUCCAGGCCUGGGCCUCGCGUGGGCCUCCUUUCCCGCCCUGCCUGCCUGCCUGCCUUCAUCCGGGUGUUUGGGCCUGGCCUCCCUCAGGGCCUCCCUCCUCGGAGCGGACUCCUCUCCUCCCUCCCUCCGGUGAGUGUAGCCAGGCCUGUGAAAGAAAGAAAGAACGCUUUCGCCUGGAAGCAGACUGGCAGCCAAUGGAGCUGCCACACCAUGGGAGUGGAUCUCUCCCUGUACGGAGCUCCUGUUAGCAGUCUGGCCGCCGAUCUCUGAACCCGUUGAAGCUUCUGAACUAUCUUCAAAGGCAGCCCCAUGCAGAGCGUUGCUGUAGUCCAAGCAUAUUUCUACAAAAUAUGUAUAUGAAAACAUGCCGAACAAAGAUUAAAAUAUAGAGAGCACAAGACGUGCGUUUUCAUUGUAUUGGGC
rnacentral:lncRNA from 11 species